rnacentral:rRNA from 1 species
UGAAUACGAGAUGCUAAGGCGUCGAAGUAGUGUAUGUCAUACUUCCAAGAAAAGCUCGCACUGUCAUAAAUAAAAGAUGCCUGUACCAUAACCGACACAGGUGGGUAAGUAGAGUAUACUAAGGGGCGCGAGAUAACUCUCUCUAAGGAACUCGGCAAAAUAACUCCGUAACUUCGGGAGAAGGAGUGCCUUAUUCUUAAGGUUGCAAUAACAAGAUCCAAGCAACUGUUUAUCAAAAACACAGGUCUCCGCUAAGUCGUAAGACGAUUUAUGGGGGCUGACGCCUGCCCAGUGCCAGAAGGUUAAAGAAGUUGGUUAGCAAUUGCGAAGCUGGUAACUGAAGCCCUGGUGAACGGCGGCCGUAACUAUAACGGUCCUAAGGUAGCGAAAUUCCUUGUCGGGUAAGUUCCGACCCGCACGAAAGGCGUAAUGAUUUGGAUGCUGUCUCGGAGAGGGGCUCGGUGAAAUAGACUUGUCUGUGAAGAUGCGGACUACCUGCACCAGGACAGAAAGACCCUAUGAAGCUUUACUGUAACUUGAAAUUGAAAUUGGACUUUAUUUGCGCAGUAUAGGUGGGAGGCGUUGAUUAUAAUCUUGCGGGAUUAUUGGAGCCAUCAGUGAGAUACCACUCUUGUAAUGUUAGAUUUCUAACUUUGAAUCAUUAUCUGGUCAAAGGACAAUUUCAGGCGGCAGUUUGACUGGGGCGGUCGCCUCCUAAAUGGUAACGGAGGCGUACAAAGGUUUCCUCUGAACGGUUAGAAAUCGUAUCUAGAGUGUAAAGGCAUAAGGAAGCUUGACUGUGAGACCUACAAGUCGAGCAGGGACGAAAGUCGGUCUUAGUGAUCUGACGGUACUGAGUGGAAAGGCCGUCACUCAACGGAUAAAAGUUACUCUAGGAUAACAGGCUGAUCUCCCCCAAGAGUUCACAUCGACGGGGAGGUUUGGCACCUCGAUGUCGGCUCAUCGCAUCCUGGGGCGGUAGUACGUCCCAAGGGUUGGGCUGUUCGCCCAUGAAAGCGGUACGCGAGCUGGGUUCAGAACGUCGUGAGACAGUUCGGUCCAUAUCCGGUGUAGGCGUUAGAAUAUUGAGAGGAGCCUUCUUUAGUACGAGAGGACCGAGAAGGACAUACCUCUGGUGUACCAGUUAUCGUGCCAACGGUAAACGCUGGGUAGCUAUGUAUGGAGUGGAUAACCGCUGAAAGCAUCUAAGUGGGAAGCCCACCUCAAGAUAAGUAUUCUCAU